rnacentral:lncRNA from 10 species
AAAGAAACAAGGACAGUGGUGGAAUGCAAACAAGGCACAAACUGGCCCCACCUGGGUUUAUGUUGCUGCUGGUUGAGUAGGUGCUUGGGAGGGGACUCUGGGAAGGUUUUUCAGUGAGGAGUGGGUGGGGGCAUGAAGAUAGCAGGAAGAAGAGACUGAGAACUUUGUCAUCAGCAGAGCCUGGACCUGUUGCAAUAAGCUUCGGGUGGGUGCUGUGGGUCAGGUGGUCAGGAAGUAUUGGAGUGUCUAGAGCCUCCUGGGUGAUCAUCUCCUUACUUGGAAUUUCUGCAGAGGAAGAGACAGCAGGAAGGAAGCUUUUCUUUCAGCCUGGAUGACCUUACCUGAAAGAAGAGGAAACAACCAUCAAUGUAGUAUGAACCCAGGAGCUCUUAAAAGACAUAAUUCCUUUAAAAUAAAAUUUGACCAACUGGUUACCUAGAAGCUCCCUGGCCAGAAUAACCCACUCUGUAUUUCAGGUUUUUACUGCUAUUGGGAUGCAAAUCUGCCUUAAAUAUCCAACACCAUCAGCUGUUAGUAUGAAUAUACCUUCAUGGGAAUGAUGAUUGGUAAGGAAGCUUUGCCAGAGGACUCAUGGAGCCACACAUAGGAGCACUACAUGCCCACUCUGGAGACAGGCAUGGGAAUGAGAAGAGUUGAGAUGGGGAGAGGCAAGCAAGUUGGGGUUGGAGAUACUCACGAAGCCAGAACCAGGUGACAGGAAUAAAGAGUCUCACUCUGUCACCCAGACUGGAAUUCAGUGGCGCAAACUCAGCUCACUGCAGCCCCCACCUCCCAGGUUCAAGCCAUCCUCAUGCCUCAGCCUGCCGAGUAGCUGGAACUAUCGACUUGCACCACUACUUUUUUAUAAUCUUUGCAAUGAUCAUCUUACACGACUAAAGAGUCCAUCUAGAAGUUGCACUAUAACUGAAUCAGAUAUUCCUUUAUGGUUGACCACUUAGGCUCUCUAAAACAUUUUUAUAAUUAUAAUUAACUAUACAAAUUUUUGACUUUAUGCAAUGAAAAAUUUCAAAUAGAGAAAAUAUAAUGAUGAACCCCCCAAAACUCAUUACCUACAUUUAACAAUAAUUAACAUUUACAAUUUUUGUACUUAUUUUUGCCAAGGUGUUUAAAAAUAUAUUACAGAUAUCAUAAUAUGUCACCACCAAGUACUCCAGUUUGCAUCGCUAAACAAUAAGGGCAUUUAAUGCCAACAUCAAUAUCAGUUCUAACAAAGUUAGUAUUUAUUCCUUAAUAUCACCUAAUACCUGGCCAAUAUUAGAAGUUGCCAGUAGUCUCUGCAAAGGUCUUCUUACCAUUUUUGCUCAAAUCUAAACUCAAACAAGGUGCAUGAAUUGCAUUUUGCUGUCAUGGCUCUUGAGUCUCUUUUAACUUAGAAUCCUCCCUCUGUCCCCAGUCUUUUUCCCUUCCACUGACUUGAGGAAACUGGGUCAGUUUUCAAUUAGACUUUUCUGCCUUCUGGAUUGCUUCCUGGAGACAUUAUUAAACAUAUUCUCCUAAUCCUUGCAUUUAAAUUGACACUUGAAUCUUAAUCACGUUUUUGGUAAAAACACUUUCUAGGGGACUGUAUUUCAUAUUACAUCAGAAUGCACCUAAUAUAAAAUUGUUCUACCACAUAUGACGAUAAGAUUACUUCAUGAGGAACUUUAAAUAGUGACACCCUCAUCUGUCAAUUUUAAAGUUGUAUUUAUUUUCCCGUUUAGGUUAGCAAAUAAUCAAUUGAGGUAAUGUUUUAGCAUCCUGCAAAUAUCCAGCUACCAUUCAGUCUUUUCCCUAAUGAUUUUAGCAUCAUUACUGGAUAUCGCCUAAAUCAAAUAUCUCUUAAGGGGUUUUAAAAUGUCAGUUUCUAUUUCUAUCACUUCUAUAUUUAUUUGAUGAAAUUUUAUUGAGAUUCUUUUUCUUUCUAUAUUUAUUAAUGAGAUUAUUUUCAAAAGAAGAGCUUUCUUUUAUUAACUAGGACUCUUUAGUGACCCUGAAUUUUAGGUAAUAUUGCUGUGUAGGAAACCAUCUCAGACUUAAUGGUGUAAAAUAAGAAUUUUAUUAUGUUUGUGGAUUCUGUGGGUGAGGAAUUCAGACAGGGCACAAUGGGGAUCUGUUCUGUGAUGUCUGGGCCUCAGCUGGAAAGACUCAAGGGCUACAGUGACUCAACAACUGGACACUUGAAUGAUCUGGAGGCUCCUUCAUGCAUAGUCUCUCUUGGGCCAGAAUGAUUUGAACACUGAGCUCAGCUGAGACUGCUAACCAGAGCUCCUACAUGUGGACUAUCCAUGUGGCUUGGGCUUCCUCACAGCAUGGUGGCCUCAGGGGAAUUAGACUUUUUUAUGUAGAAGCUCAGAACUCCAGAAUGAAUAUCCCAGCAGACAUGACAGAAGCUGAAUUGCCUUUUAUGACCUAUCCUCAAAAAUCACAAAGAAUUACUCUCAUCGUAGUCUGUUUGUUACUAGUCAAAACCAUCACCAGACUGCCCAGAUUCAAGAGGAGGUGACAUAGAGCCCACUUCUUGAUGGUAGGGUAGAACAGUCACACUGUAAAAGAGCAUGUGGGAUGGGGAACACUGUGGCCAUCUCUGGAAGGUGCAGUCUGCCACAUCCUGAAAGGCAGUUCCUACAUAACAGGAAAAUAAAUGUCUGAUUCUCUCCAUUUAACUGUCAAUAUUCAGAGUAAGAAACCAGUGAAGUAGAUACCCUGAAUUGUAACAGAUUAGGGUGUUUCUCUAGAGGUGAGUGUGAGGCUUUCUCACUUUUGACUAACAUUAGUAACAUAUUGAUUUUUAAAAAAUAUUUAAUGUGCUUCAAUUUAUUCUUUUUAAUACACAGAUUGUCCCAACUUUGGCUCAUGGGAUCCAUUGCAAGCUGGCUUCCAUGUCUUUUUGAUAAUAUGUCAUUAACCUUUGAUAGCUUCAUUGCUUUCUGGCAUAACAACAUGAGUCAGGCUCAUGUAUAUUCCCUGCUCUAUUCCUGGAAUUAGCCAUUGCACCUAGGAAGCCCUUCCUAUUGAUAUUUAGAAUAUUGAUAUUUAGAAUGAUAUUUAGAAACCAAAUCUGAAUACUAAGGAUGUUCAUUAGUACAUGGGAGGCUUGGCUUCCAUAGCUUUUCCAUGGACAGAGCAAAGACAGAGCUUUAAGUUCUUUCUUAAAAAAUGUAUGUGUAUAUAUAUAUGUGUGUGUGUGUGUGUGUCUUUAUAAUUCUAAAUGUAUACUAAUAUUUAUAAUUCAAAUUUAAAUAUUAUAGGAUUUUACCUAAUACAUUUGAUUUUAUAUUUUUAUGUCUCUUCUUACAUUAAUUACAAUAUAAAUCUUACACUAUAAAACUAUCAUAGACACAAAUAGUUUCAAAAUGACAAUGCUAAUAUUACUUCUAACAAUGCCAAACAAUACAAAUUAAUAUUCCUUUGAAGUUUUUUAUUGUUGUUAUCCUUGUUUUUUUGGUCUGUCCUUAAGAUAAAUCACACUAAGCUUGUAUAGUAGAUGAACUAUGUUCAAAGCAUACUCAGAUAAAUUUUGCUUUCUCAUGAUGCCUUUAUUCCAUUCUUCUCAUCCUUUAGGUAACCAUUUUUAUUAGAUCUUGAUUUAGGCUUCCAGCGUUUCUUUUUACAAAUAUAAGAAAUUAUUAUGUACCUGUAUAAACAUGUGGAUUUAUACUCAUACUUUCACCUCUCCUUACACAAAAAUAGCAUAUUAUUUUUGUUUUUCUGCAUCUUGCUUUUUUCACCUAAGAAUAUAUCCUAAAAAGCACUCCACAAAAUUUUUUCUCAUCUUUUUUGUGGUUACGUAUACUCCAUUGUGUGGGUUUAUGAUAGUUUAAUCAGUUCCCUGAUGAUAGAGAGUCAGUCGAUUCCAAUCCUUUUAUUACACAUGUUAUUUUAUAUUAGGGCUACUGUAACUUUGGAAUAGAUUAUCAGAGCUAGGAAUGCCAGAUCCAAGGUCCACGCAUGUGUAAUUUUGCUUGACGUUGUCAAUUCUCUCCAUGAGGUCUCUGCUACUUCCUACAUUCCUAGGAGCAAUGAAGGAGAUGCUGAUUUCUCAUAGUUUUGUCAUCAAAACCUGUUAUCAAACUUUGGGGCUUUUACCAAUCUGAUAGGUGAGAAAUGGUAUCUUGGUGUACUAUCAGUUUGCAUUUCUCUAAUUAUAAGUGUGCUUGAGCAACUUUAAUAUGUUUAAAGACCAUUUUAUUUCAUUUUAUGAGUCCCGUCUGUUCAUGUCUUUGGCUAAUUCUUCUGUUAGGUUGUGGGUCCUUUUUUCAAUAUCUGGGAAUGCUGUUUUGCCAUGCAUUUUUUUCCUUUUGAUGUUGUUGAAUUUAUCAAUAUUUCCUUUUAUUAAAGAUGUAGAUUUUUCUCAUUCUCAGGUUAUGGGAAUUUGUGCAUAUUUCUCCACUAUUUAUACUGAUAAGGAGUUUGACUAUCCCCC